rnacentral:misc_RNA from 1 species
AAGUCGUAACAAGGUUUCCGUAGGUGAACCUGCGGAAGGAUCAUUAACACGUUCCACGUAUCAACCCGAGCACUCGUUUUUACUCUGAUUAAGCUCCAGUUUAGCACCCUACAAACCUCGCAUUUCAGUCCGCAAACGAUAAGGAAACAGACUGAUCAAGUCUGGCGGCUGGCGAUUUGGUAUAGUCUCCUCUGCAUGCAGAGGAGAAAGGGCUCUGGAUGUCUGGUCAUGCUUCUAUUCCUUGUCGAUCUUUCACAAUCAUUUACCCCAUUCCAAAACGUACUAAUUUAUAUUUCUUUCUUAAGAAAUUGGAACACUUUCUGCUGCUUUACCGCAGUCGGGAGCGCUCUAACCAACUAAGAAAAACCUUAAGAACAACUCUUAACAACGGAUAUCUUGGCUCUC